rnacentral:rRNA from 1 species
AGACGUCUACAUUAGAUACCCGCGUAGUCCCAGCCGUAAACUAUGCGCGUUAGGUGUAUCGGUGACCACGAGUUACCGAGGUGCCGAAGGGAAACCGUGAAACGUGCCGCCUGGGAAGUACGGUCGCAAGGCUGAAACUUAAAGGAAUCGGCGGGGGAGCACCACAACGGGUGGAGCCUGCGGUUUAAUUGGACUCAACGCCGGGAAGCUCACCGGAUAAGACAGCGGAAUGAUUGCCGGGCUGAAGACUCUGCAUGACUAGCUG